rnacentral:rRNA from 1 species
AUUGAACGCUGGCGGCAGGCCUAACACAUGCAAGUCGAGCGGAGCGGCGGCCGGGUGAGUAAUGCCUAGGAAUCUGCCUGUAAGUGGGGGAUAACGUCCGGAAACGGGCGCUAAUACCGCUUACUAUCAGAUGAGCCUAGGUCGGAUUAGCUAGUUGGUGGGGUAAGGGCCUACCAAGGCGACGAUCCGUAACGGGUUGGCGAGGAUGAUCAGUCACACUGGAAGUGCGACACGGUCAAUACUCCUACGGGAGGCAGCAGUGGGGAAUAUUGGACAAUGGGCGGAAGCCUGAUCCAGCCAUGCCGCGUCUGUGAAGAAGGUCUUCGGAUUGUAAAGCACUUUAAGUUGGGAGGCGUUACCAACAGGAUAAGCACCGGCUAACUUCGUGACAGCAGCCGCGGUAAUUC